AAUGGUGUAUCUUACUGCUUAUGAGCCCCC
rnacentral:piRNA from 1 species